ensembl:lncRNA
AAUUUAGAAUUCUUUCUUAUCUCAAGGGUGUAUCCUAGUGUAGCAAAUCUGGCUUACGGAGAUUUUUUAUUUCUUUUUGCUUGUUUUUUGGUUUUGUUUUGUUUCCUUUUUAGAUAGGAAUGAAGGAACUUGUAGGAUUUUGAAGAAAAACAUACAUGUGAUAUCUACAAAGGUUCUUCCUAUGAAGAGAAAUUACACUGCAUUUUGUAGACCUUGAUACCUCUCCUUUAAUGAAAGUUUGGGUUGAAUAAGGCUGAGUUUCUUUGAGUUUCUGGAUUUCUCUGCCAGUGAGUCCAUAACUGUCUUCAUUGCAGCAGCUGACUGUGCUCUUGAGAGAUGGGGCGGAAUGGAGAAAAGUAACAGCAGAAAUGUUAGGAAUGGAAGUUAAAGGUUGAGAAUUCAAGAGGACUGCAGAUUCACAGUUCCAGGUUUUCGCUUGUAAUGGCCUACAGCACUACUGCAGGCUUCCUGAUGGAGAAACAAAUUUGUGCCAGCUUGCUGAAUAACCUCCGUAAUGUUCAGCCGAUCAGAACUUCUCCAUCUGUGUGUCCAUCCAUCCAAAGAACCAGAUGCUCUGAAAAACACUUCAUCCACCCCUCCUGAUGCAUCCAUAUCUGAAAUAUGUUGCUACCAUAACUGCAGUUUUCAGCCCUACAAGCAAAGCCAGCUAUUGACCUAUCUGGAGCUCUCAAUUGUUUAGUCACCUGCUCAGAGAAAAUGAAAUCACUAACUGGGAGCAUCAAUAAUAAAAACUCAUAGAAAGAAACCAUUUCACCAAGGCCUAAGUCCAGACAAUAACUGGAUUUCACCAGGAUGGGAAGCUAAGAUAAAUAUUCCGUGAUGCAAGCACUGGAACUUCUGCUUUGGGCAAUUAUUUACUGCUGAAACAUCUGCAUAAGCUGAAGUUACUGACUCCCAACUGUUUGUUACCAUUACUCCUCUGCCAAAAAUUGCUACCCCAUAGAACAUGGUGUUGCUCAGCCAGUAGAAUGGAUCACAUAGGCAUUCCCUGCCUCAUCUGUUUCAGUAUAAAGUUAGCUUGUUAAUUUAAAUUCUACUUCUCAUACAUUUUACAGAAUGAAGUAGUAGAAUUUCUGCUGAAGAUUCAGUUCAGUGUUCAAUAUUAAAUACAUUUUGCAAAAUUUUAAGAAUUGAGCACAAAGCCCAUAGGGCUUUUAAGCUCAUCUUGAUGUUUGCCUGAACCUUCCUAUCCUGAAGCAGCCUUAAAAUGUUGGUAUUAUUAGUUUUCAAGUGAUUUGCUUAAUUAGAGCUAACGUAAAUCUUUGUUGCCAGGUAUGAACAGCUGCUGCAGAGAGAAUCAAGAGCAAAACUCAAUGAGAUUCUUAUGGCAGCAGAAAAGAUAUCAGGAGUGGCCACAACACUAUACAGCACUGUUCCGCAGCUACUUGUUAAUGCUUUUAUGCUGUGUUGAUAUAAAUAGGCACAUAGAAUCUAACAGAAAUGCUCAAGUAGAAAAUCUGCAGUUCUGUCAGGAGCUUAUUCUCCAUCUUAAACUUGACCUUUCCUCAAAGCUUCCAUCUAGAAACUGCAACAUAAUUGUUUCGUAUCCAGAACUGAUGAAGAAUUUGGAUUCCAGUGCAAAACAGACAUGCAGAUAUGGGGACAUAAGAAUUAUAACUAUAUGCACAGCUUGCACAUCAGUUUUUACACCUGUCUCAUACUGAUGCGAUAAAUUGACUAAGAAGUCCUGUCAAAAAACUGAGUAGCUAUGAGGAACAGGAUGGAGUUAGAACUGUAUUAUAAUGUCUUCUCCAUUUGGAAACCUUUGGCUAGAGGUGUAAGAUUAGUCCCUAGCAGUUGUAGUCAUCAUCAAGCUUCAAUGCCUUUGCAUCAUGAAACUGUACCCUCUUUUAAAAAUAGCAAUAAUCUCUAGUUCCAAACUGCACCACAUGAAUACAGCAUUAAAAGUUU